GACGAACGCUGGCGGCGUGCUUAACACAUGCAAGUCGAACGGAAAGGCCCUGCUUUUGUGGGGUGCUCGAGUGGCGAACGGGUGAGUAACACGUGAGUAACCUGCCCUUGACUUUGGGAUAACUUCAGGAAACUGGGGCUAAUACCGGAUAGGAGCUCCUGCUGCAUGGUGGGGGUUGGAAAGUUUCGGCGGUUGGGGAUGGACUUGCGGGUUAUCAGCUUGUGGGUGGGGUAGUGGCUUACCAAGGCGUUGACGGGUGGCCGGCCGGAGAGGGUGACCGGCCCCAUUGGGACUGGGAUACGGCCCCGACUCCUACGGGAGGCAGCAGGGGGGAAUAUUGCAAAAGGGGCGGAAGCCGGAUGCAGCAACCCCCGGUGCGGGAUGCCGGCCUUCGGGUUGUAAACCGCUUUCGCCUGUGACGAAGCGUGAGUGACGGUAAUGGGUAAAGAAGCACCGGCUAACUACGUG
rnacentral:rRNA from 1 species